UAAUACGUAGGUGGCAAGCGUUGUCCGGAUUUAUUGGGUUUAAAGGGUGCGUAGGCGGCUUAUUAAGUCAGUGGUGAAAUACUCUAGCUCAACUAGAGGGGUGCCAUUGAUACUGAUGAGCUUGAGUACAGAUGAGGUAGGCGGAAUUGACGGUGUAGCGGUGAAAUGCUUAGAUAUCGUCAAGAACACCUAUAGCGAAGGCAGCUUACUAGGCUGUAACUGACGCUGAGGCACGAAAGUGUGGGGAUCAAACAGGAUUAGAUACCCUGGUAGUCCACACUGUAAACGUUGAUUACUCGCUGUGUGCGAUAUACAGUACGCGGCCAAGCGAAAGCGAUAAGUAAUCCACCUGGGGAGUACGCCGGCAACGGUG
rnacentral:rRNA from 1 species